UAAGUUGGAAAGUAAAUGACUUUGAUUAUUAUUCAUUUACGGUAUAUAUACAAGAGUACACAAUUAAGUCCCUACAUAGUUGGAGUAAUCUAAACCACAAAAGAUACACGAAAAGAGUGGGCUAUUAACUAGGAUAGCAGGCUAAGUUUUCUGUUAUUAGGUUUAGAGGAGUGGAUCGGUCGCCCCAGACUGAUCGGUUAAUUAUGUAGAAACGAUUUCCUUGGUUAUGUUUUUUGGGCGAUUUAAUUGACUUGUGCCCUAAGAUGUCUCGAUAUCCAUGGGGUCUGAUGAAAUCAUCUCGUAUCGACAUCUCUUCUUCUCCGGAAAGAAUAAAGAUCAGCAGCUCCUCCAUGGUCUCCCCGUACCUAAAAAUUUCAUUCAAACAAAACCUACAGAAUGUAGACAGACAACCCAGUUAUUCUAAUUGGGCCGCAAGGGCCUGGAAAAGAACACAUAAGAGAGCCGGCUGCUCAAUAAGAAAAGCUUAUGCGUAUUUAUGCAUGUGCAUCCCGC
rnacentral:lncRNA from 1 species